ensembl:lncRNA
AUGACGAGGAGGAGGACACAGAAACACUGGUCAGCACUGGGAAACCACCUCCUCAAAGCAACCAAUGGUUUAAAGAUGCCCCCGGGCUUUUCGUUGGAUGAGAUACCAGAGAUGAUAGUUCCUCCGGACGUCUUGGUCCAGCACCUGUCCAGUGGAGAACUUCUAAGCCCCAAGCUCUUAGAAAAAAGGGUUCCAAAAGGGUUCACUGGCUGUCCCCAUAGGAUAACCCUUUUUGGUUCCAGGUAGAACCGUUUUGGGUUCCAUGUAGAACCAUUUGUGGAAAGGCUUCUAAAUGGAACCCAAAAGGGUUCUACCUGGAACCAUAAAAUAUUCAAAGGGUUCUCCUAUGGGGCAGCAGAAGAACCCUUUUAGGGUUCUAGAUAGCACCUUUUUUUCUAAGAGUGUACCUGCGGGCCUAACACACCCUUUGCCACAUCCUCAUGGACUCUGGUGAGCAGGACUUUACACACUCAUCAACAGGGCUGGUUAACUCCAUUUGAAUUCAGUGAAUUUAAUAAGUUAUAUGAAGUUCCAGUACAUUAAUUAAUUGAACAAAUUGCCAAUGAAAGUCAAUGGCUUUCAGAUUGUUACAUGGGUCACAUUACCUGAUAACGUUGAUACCUAAACAUUACCACAUGCUGUAUGUUCUGUGAUUGUUCAAAGGACACGUGUUUGGAAGCGGUUUAGUGUUUGGCCCAAAGGUCAAAGGUAUGGGUCUGUCAGCAUGUCACAUCAAACCAAUGCACAAGUCUAACAUUGCAUGCAUCAUCUCACUUUUGACCUGAAUGACUUUGAAUGGAUUCUCUCUGAAUGAAGGAUAUUUUGAUUCUGGCACAAUAUAUUGCUGUGUACCACAGAGAUUCUGAGGUUAUGCUGUGCAUAUAAUUUGGGGUUCACAGCAUACCUGUGAAUACCUGUUGUUAUUGUCUGAGUUCUAUUAUUAUUAUUUGACAUGGUCAAAUAACUCAAGCAUAGAUUGGUUGAACCAUGUUAAGUUUGGCAUUGAUAUCUUAAAUUAUAAGGAAAGUGUUAACAAUUCCCUUUUUUGACUAUGUAAUGCUAAUGCAACCUCUUAAGGAUCGGACCCUUUUUUUAAAUUUCCGCCUAAAAUUACAUACCCAGGUCUAAUUAAAAUAAUCAUGAAAAAUCUUCUCCUCAUGAAAGUCAGAUUCACUCCAAAUUUGGACUUUGGACUCUGGACUCAUCACAAUAGUCACUAAAGAAUGUGAGAAAAUAACAUAUGCUAAUAUGCUAAAAUAUGCUAAAAAUACUUCAAAAAUCUUCCCAUGAAGUGCCAAAUUACACGAAAUGUGGAAUGCAGGCACAUGGUACAUGUCUUAACUAAGUUUGAGAAAAGGGAUUGGACAAAGGAUGUCGGAAUUAUUGACAAAUAAGAAAUCAGAUUUUUCGUGUCCAUUUAAACCACUGUUUAUCCACUCCACAGUCGCCUAUCAACUUGAAACGUGUCCUUGCUAUCAUGGACGUCCAUAAGAUGAACCACACUUAAUGUGGUAUUUAUAUUUCAAAAUGCAAGGAAACUAUUAACAACUAAUGAUUUGCAUAUGUGUUGCUAAUGCUCAAAAUCAUCUGCAAUCAUCUUCUCCUCAGAUUUUUUUAAUCCUCAGAUGUCAGAUUUGUUAUUUAGACUCAGUCAGUCUUUAAUGGUCUUGAGAAAAAAUAGUUGCUGCAUUUAAAUAUGGCCACACAGUACCUAUAGAUUGCUUUUUUAUCCAACUGAUCUUGUGUCCUUUCUGAGAACCCUGUUCAUUGCUGCUCCCAGCUAUAUUUAUUUACUCAUCUUAUUCCUUGUCUUUGUCUUGUGUUCUUGUCCUUGACAAAGACCUCUGCAUGUAGACUUGUAUAUAAGGGUUGAUUUUGUGGACACUGUCUGUUAGGAUGAUUCAUUCACAUGUUUUAUAUUAUUUCCACAGAGCGUACUUGGCCUCCACCUGUGCACCUUAGAUGUGAAUUCUGACUUCUGAUGUCAUACAAAUUGACAUUUUCAUGUGUUUCCUACUCAAUAUGUUUUCAGGGUUCAUGCCUGGUUAUUUGUAUGUGUUAUUGAGAACUGCCAUUAAUCUGGACUGUGUGGAACAUUAAACUCAAAAUGAUUUUCCUUGCUCCUAAAACUAUAGCUUUAAAAUACACAGGGACUGCGGGAUUGGUUUUGUUGUAUAUUGCAAAUAUUUAAUAAAUAUUUUACUCAAUGUGAACUGUCAUUGGAUGCAUUUUCUUUCCUGUUAACAUACUGCCACACACACCAUACUCACAAGGCAUGAUUAAAUACACACCAAACCCAAAUCAUACAAAAAAAUGUUUUUAAUAGUUAACAUUCUGACGAGGAUUGUUUCCAAUCUUACAGUACCUGUCCACAGCAAGUGUUCUGCUCUGACUGGGAGAGGGUAUGUCUUAUUUCAGUGUCCCCAAUGUUACCGCAGUUGACAUGUUACAUUAGGGCCUUUUUAUAUCUAAAAACAAUGUCAUCAAAUCUUCCCUUUUAUUUUGUCCCCCUUGUAUAAAUGUAUUAUUUGAACAUAACUAUGCAAACACAUUCAUGAAGAUGUACUUGCUUACCAAACAAUAGCUGCAUGCACCACUGUGUCACCAUUUGCAAAUGUUCAUACAGGCAAACCAGGUGUGUUAUAUCUCACACUUUUUCAGUCUUGCCUGAUUGGCCAAUAAAAAAGGUGUAUCUUUGUUUUGCCUAAUAUAAAUCAGGAGGAUUUGUUCAUCUGAUGGAUAAUUGGAUUGAUUUAUGCCGAUAUAAAGGUUAUCCUCAGAGAAUAACAUUCCAUGUUUACAGACGAAAAUAAAUACAAGUCAUCCAUUCAGUGUCAUUCUGUCUUGACUCAUUAGGCAAAAAAGCUAAAAGUUAGAUGCUAUAUUGUCUCCAAGUUGCAUAAAGUAAUUCAGUUUGGCAAUUAUUAAGUCAUGCUUAGAUGUAGAGUAGCCUCCAUCAUAUUUAUUUGACUCUGCUGAGUGAAUAGUUGAUUGACAGGAUGGAAGUAGGAGCAAAAUGCAAUACAAGAAUUGUGGACUGAUAAACUGAUCAUAGGGCAAAACGGAAUAAUUCUACCUGCAUUGCAAGGCUCUUUUUCUUUUCACAUAUAAAAAUAAAUAUGACAAGCACAGGUAAAUAGGACCAAGAUAAGACAAAUUUCACAAGCAUGAUGAAAAAUCAUGCUGCUGAUUUUCACACAUAGAACAAUGUCUAGUCAUAAUCCCCAAGCCUGUUCACAUCACGGCCAAACACCUGUCCACCCUGUUAAAACUACAUCCACAACACAGAGAAUUCCCCCUUAAAGCAACCUGAGGCAAACAGUUCAAAUAGUCACUAGUACAUUCCUCCUAUUCAUUGAAAAAACAUGUUUUUAUCUUACAGUAACUCAAAAGGCAUGUUUAAAAAAACUAACAGUGGAAAUAUUCUGUGGAAUCUCUCUCACCAACUACUGCCCUUGAUAGACAGAUUUCCGAUGUUAAUAAAGUUGUGUUUUCAAUCAAUAUGUACAAACCAUUACUCAUGAACAGAACAGCACAUUAUCACCACCGACAAACGUCCAGAUAGACACAGAACUGGCCAUUCACUUCAGCACAUCCAAAUUGUAAGAACAGCUUUCAAUAAUGUAAAUGCAAUUUUGUCUAUAUUAUAUAUUUUUUGAAUUCCUCAAAAUAAUAUGGCAUGAUUAGCAUUUGUUGCAUCACUACAGGCAGAAUUAAGACAAAAGCAAAAAAACAUCAGUAUAAACAGUAAAAAACAUGGGACCCUCUUAAUCUUUGAGGUUUCUCUGUUCAUAAAUACUGUAAUUGCACUUUGUUUUAUCGUUUAGAAAUUCAAACUUUUUGUUCCUGAACUGUCUAGUAAGCAUUGGGUGAACUGUAUUACUUUCAGAGGAUAUUAGUAUUCUCCACUGGGGAAUAUACUCUGUACUGUAAGGUUGGAAUAACUAGGAAACUAUGUUGACUCAACUAGUUUUUGCCUCGAGGGAUGGUGGUCCUCGUUUUACUUACCAAUUGACAAUCAUGAAAACAUCCCUUAUAAUAGCUCUACUGGUCAGGCUUAUGGACUAGUGGAGACUUGCUGCACACUGUGAUGCAGCACUUUCCGUUUAGACAUACUGUAUCAUUAAGCUCUAGGCUGAUGACUCGCACUUUUAAUCUAACAUUCCUCUAAAAUAGAUUUAACCUUGAAACUAUGUCACUGCUAUUACAAUUACUGUACUGUAUAAAGCUUGUGAGUAUUUGAUCCCCUGCUGAUUUUGUACGUUUGCCCACUGACAAAGAAAUUAUCCGUCUAUAAUUUUUAAUGGUAGGUUUAUUUGAACAGUGAGAGACAGAAUAACAACAAAAAAAUCCAGAAAGACGCAUGUCAAAAAUGUUAUAAAUUGAUUUGCAUUUUAAUGAGGGAAAUAGACUCUGUAAGUCUUCACAAGGUUUUCACACACUGUUGCUG